UAGUCAGCCAUUUAUGUACUUAGAAUGCUGUCAGAUGUGCAUUUUACCACAUAUUCCUAAGGGCUCUUUUACAUUGGGAACGGAGAACACCCAUACCCAAUCACUGGUCCAUAAGACUUGCUGCUGAUCUGCCGACCAACGCUUGUUUGUUCGUCUAGUGAUCUGUCCUGUGUAAAUAGGAGCAUGCUGCUGACAAAACGAAAACUGUGUGGGGAGGAACGAUUCGAUUAGCAAUCAUUCAUCCCCAUACUCAAGAUGAUUGCCACAUGUAAAUCCCCUCUAAGAAGACCAUGUAAAAGGAUCCCAAGGCAUCAUUCCAUACAGGCCAGAAAAGAGCUGCCUCCUCUGCACAUGGGUGACAGCUAUACUAUAACCCUAUUUUAAUUUGAUUGCUGGACCUAUAGAGGAAAUAAAUUAUUAUUAACCCUUGUAACUUUAUAACUGUGAACGUACAGGUUAAACAUAUAGAAGACCUGAAAAGCACAUCUGUAGGGGUUUUUACUGUUGUUUUGCCCCCUUCCAAACAUAAAUCAGAGAAAAAGUCAGUACAUUUCUCGACAAUUUUAGCCGACAUGAAGAAAACAUUAACCAUUUGUUCUGAAACUAAUAGUUAUGGAAAGCCAAUGUGAUCCAAGAUGCUUCGUAAAAUUAAAAUGUCUUUCAUGCUUGUCACUUUGACUGGCUUACCUUGGUGUAAAGAACAUACAGCCACUAAUAACUUACACCACACCACCAAAGAUACAACUAUAGGAGCACAGGAUAGACAAACUCCUAUAUUGGGGAACAGCAUACACAGCAAUACACUAAUGCACUUCUAUUGUAAUAAGGGGCAACGGCUGGAAUAUCCUGCUGUCCUCAUCCAUUACUGGACCAAUCUCGCUUCAGAGAGUAUGUUAUGGUAACAGGUCUAUGAAAUAAUUGCUGUAUGCAAUGACCUAAUAUACAAGUAUAAGUCACUAUAGGUGAACAUAUGCAGACAUGCAAGAAGAGCUAUUGGGUCCUUGAUAAAGUAUACUGAAUAUACAUGUAAGAAUAUAUUGGAGAAUUGUGCAAUUUAGUUCCCCCAAGUCUACCAAAUUCUGAAAUCUGAAGUCCAGAAUUAAAGGGUUAUUCUGGUUGGCAAAAGUUAUCCCUCAUCCACAGAAUAGGGGAUAAUUAUUAGAUCAGUGGGGGUCAUGCCGCUGGGACCCCCACCGAUCAUGAGAAUGGAGGCCCCAUAACCCCUGUACCCGCUCUGUUCUUUUCAGGGGGGCUGCAGGGGGCCCCCGUUCUGGUGAUCAGUGGUGGUCCCAGCUAAUAACAUAAACCAGCCUCCAGUAAACAGAGCCCCAGCUAGGAUAUAUGGGUGCAGCACUUCGUGAGUAUGGGGAUGAACUCUGCAGACUUUCUGCACCAUAAUUGUGUACGGAAAAGUGGCAAAAUGGAUGAUAUUUAAAGGGGUUUUCUAGGCUCCUGAUAUUGAGAAACUUAUCCUUAGGAUAGGUCAUUCAUAUCCAAUCAAUGAGUGUCUGAUACCCCACACCCCUACUGAUCAGCUGUUCCCUGCAGCUUCAGGCACAGGAACCAACACUUUGAAUGGAGAAAGAAGCACAGCUCUCUACUAAAUACUAUGGGGGUCAUUUAUUAAGACAGACAUUUUAGACGCCGUCUUAGAAACCCCUAUAGCUGGUAGCGGAUACAUCGAAUUUAUGAAGAGGCGCAGGCCUCUAAAUAACCUCGGCGUAUCCAGCGCCAGUCUAAAUGUAAGCCAGCUUCCUUGCUGGCUUACAUUUAGACCAUUUUCUAUGCCUAAAACAAGACAUAGAAAAUUAUGCGGACGUGCCAGCUGGCCCAUGCCAUGCCCAUUUUCUUUAGAUCUGGCGUGAGCGAGGAAAAGUCACAGAAAUAAGCCUAAUAUAGGCAGAUUUCUGGAUAGUAAAUGACCCCCAAUGUACACAGUCUGUAUUUCUAAUGCCUAUUUUAUUAUACUUUGUUUCCAUGUGCUGCCUAUCAUAGAUAGUUUGUAUCUGGAGAUAAGGAGUAUAAUAAAAUUAAUUUAAAUCAUAUCAGACUCAAAAUCCUAGGACUCAACAGUCUGCAAAUUAAUAAUCAUAGAAAAUGAACCAGUUACCUAUAAAAAGGUCCUCAUCUGUAAGGAAGAUGGACAGCACAAUUUCACUAGUUUGUAGCUCCAAAUACAGCUUUCUUAAAGGGGUAUUUCCAGCUCAAACCUUUAUUGCAUGCUUACAAGAUAUGUCCUAUGUGCCUGAUAGAUAAGAGUACCACCUCAGGGACCUGCAUCCAUCUCUUGAAACAGGUCCCCCCAAUUUCGUUUCCCCUGUAUACAAGAGCCAAGGGUGGUCAGAACCACGUACAUAGCUAAGCGGGCUGUGCAACACUUUCUGCAUAACUCCUAUUCACUUCUCAGAGCCCGCUUGGCUGUUUCUGUAGUCCCAGCUACCUCUGACCACCACAUCCAAG